AAAGCGGCGGACGGGUGAGUAACGCGUAGGCAACCUGCCCUUUGCAGAGGGAUAGCCUCGGGAAACCGGGAUUAAAACCUCAUAAUACCGCAGAGAGACAUCUCACGGCGGUCAAAGAUUUAUCGGCAAAGGAUGGGCCUGCGUCUGAUUAGUUAGUUGGUGGGGUAACGGCCUACCAAGGCGACGAUCAGUAGCCGACCUGAGAGGGUGACCGGCCACAUUGGGACUGAGACACGGCCCAA
rnacentral:rRNA from 1 species